GUGAGAUGGAAGGGUUGAAGUACUUCGGGUUUGUAAGGAUAAAUUAUAAAUAAUUAUGAAUACAUUUUCAGUGUGCUUCACACUCCAGUCAAGAUUGUGAUGUCAGUGAUUUGGUUUGAUAAUCAAACCGACAGGAAGCAGAACAAUCAGGAAAUUUUUCUGCUUAAUUUCUGUUUCUGUUUUUUUUGUUUGUUUCUGCUUCUUCACACACACUACACAGUCGACAUGCCAUCGUUUACACAAGCUUGUAAAAUAUGUGGACUGAUCCUGACGCUAAUCGUGGCACUGAAGAUGUUUCGAUUUGGAAGUUUUGCUAUUGCACAUGAGAGUUGCUGGUGUUCUCUUUCUUGUGAUGAAGCUGAAGCUGAGCUAAAGAAACAUACGGAUGUAGAAGUUCAUGUUGAACAUCAAUCAAAAGAAAUUUAUAAUAAAAUACAUGAAGUCUCCAGUUUAUUUAAUAAAGAAGGACGCUGUUCUGUGGUCGUGGAGAAAUGCUUAAAAAACUACGAAGAGGUCGAAUUAAGAAUGUUUCCUGUUAAUAAAAACCAACCAAUCUAUGAAAAAAUGGAUUUAAAGCCUGAGUGUGAAACAGAGACAACACCAAAAGAAAGAAGUAAGUGAACUUAAGAAGGCUAAAUAAAUAAAUUAAUUAAUUUGAUGCAGUAGUUCAUGCAUUUUCUUCUUCUUCUGUGUUUAUUUCUCUCUCCAGGUGGUGCCGGCACGGUCUACUCCAUCACAAUCCUGCUGAUUAUUGGCUUUUUUGUUGCAUUGAAAUUUCGGCCAAAGAACUGAUCGGCAUCAAACACACCACACACUAGUCUGAAAUUAUUCAUUUGGAUUCAGAACGAGAGAAGACUGACUACAGAAAUUACUACUGGAUUUUUCUCAGACAUUAUAAAAUUAGGGUUAGGGUUAUCUGUUCUUCUCAUUCAGUCUACUGUAAAAUCUUGCACACUAGCACUUCUGAUGCACAGAGGUUUGUUUGACGUCAGAGUCAAGUUUUGGCAGCUCAUUUGUUCAUUCAAGUGUCAUUCUGUGUUGACGUUUAGAAACAAAACAAAGAAGGUUCGAAACCAGCUAAACUUUGUUUAGGAUCAAGCUAUCGAACCAAGUGUGAAAGCAUCUGUGUGUCUUUAUUACAAAUACUUGUAUAUGUAUUUUCCUAUAUUAGGGUGAUCAUAUAAGCCAUUUUCCCAUUUGGCAGGAUUUUUAUGUAGCCUAAAAUAUCCAGAUUUUGGUUGUUUGUGCUGUGCAGAUCGACAUCUAUAGAAAGCUAGAGAGAGCAGAGCUCCUUAUGCAUUCAAAUCACUCUCUUGGUACUUUGGUGUCAUAUAAAGAUCGGUGCACAGCGACGCUUCAAGCUAAAUGAACGAACACCUAACAUGUUCGUGUAUUUGCAUUGCUUUGAUCGUUCUCUGUAGAUCUCACCUUCUUACACACCACAAAAAUGGCUCAUAUGGUCACCCUAUCCUAAAUGCUGAUGUUGCACUCAAUGAAUCAGGUACAUAUCUAAUAACCUCAGAGGCCUUGAUGUUUUAUACUCUCUUUUUUUAUUGAGCUGUAAAUUAAUUGUAUUCGGUGAAGAAAACCCUCUUAAUGUGAUGAAUGUAAUAUUAUCUUUGACUACAACACACACUUAGAGCAAAUCCUGUAAGAUGUGUAUUUUUAUUAUGUAACUGCACAUAAAGCUUUGAAGGACGUGCUAAAAAAGCUGUAACAGCACUCUGUGUGAGGUUUCAUGAUCAGUAAGGAAGUGGAAGUGGUUUUAGGGUCUCUGCAUUGUGCUUAAAUUUUGAGUUUGAUCGAC
ensembl:lncRNA